ensembl:lncRNA
CACACAUUCAACUUGCUCACUACUUCUGACAAGUGUAGAAUAUAUCUAUCUUGGAGAGCUGGCUUCAACAGUUUCGAUGUGAUUUCACAGCCACUGUGAGAAAGGAGUCUCUGAGAAUACAGAGGGAGCUUGGGUAACGUGUGCAGAAAGUUGUGGCUGCAGACUGGCCUCUGAUGGCGUCAGUAGUCACCUGGAAUAUAAACUUGUCAAAAUUCUAGACCUGAACAAAACGGGGAUACUGUUCGACAGACAAGAACUCAGAAAGGUUACGGCUUGUGUUCCCUUUCUGGAACAAACAAACUAUUUGCUUUGGUGUGUUGGAUCAACUCCAGCCAAACAAGAGAAGAAUUCAAGAAAGAGAAAAAAAUAGGAUGUAAGAAAUUGAAACUGAGAACUGCAAGGAAAGAAAAGCUGCUUUAUGUGACAACGAACCAUGAAAUCUUCCAAGAGCUGAUUCGAAACAUCUAAAAUAAAAAAUGUCACAGAGACACACUGUUCAAGAAAGUCACGGACUGAAAAUAAAGCAGGAUAUAGUUUAUAAGUGAUCCUGAGAACCGAAGUAGCAGAAGGAGCAGUAUUUUCUAUACCACGAAGGCCAUGCCUCCUUCAGCCAGCAGCUCACAGGAAUUACAACAGGAGCCUGCACCAACAGUAUCGGACACUGAAUUUUGUAGUCAUGAGACAUCAAAGACGAAUCUCAUUUCUUCUGUCUUCUCCAAAGAAGUCAAGUCCUAGCUCAGCGGAGUUAAGCACCAGUGUUACGCGGUGUGUCUCAACUAUGUUCUCUUUUGUUCAUCGAAGAAUGUGUUUUGUUUUGCUCCUUCCUCUCCCUGGUGAUUUAACAACAUGUUAAGUACAUCCAGAACCUUUGGGUGGAGGGGGGCAGUUUGUCUCCCAAACUCUUACAAUUGGUGGCUCCCUGUCAGACCCCGCCUCUGCCAGACCCCGACCCUGUUACCCCUCAACCCAUCUACACAUUUCAUCCUUUGUUUAAUCAUGUCCCCAUCUGUGGAUCCCUAGAAAAACAUUCAGCUUCAGGGUCUCUAGAAAAGUCCUGGAGUCAAGAGCAGUUUUGCUUGCAGGAACCCGGAUGCCACAACUUCUGUUACUUUCACAAGUUGACCUUAUUGGAAGGAAAGGUCUUAGAAUUUAGAGUGAUAAAUCUCUCACCUCAGAGAGAACUGAAAGAGGGGCAGCCUGGUACACCACAAUGACGCCUUGGCACAGCGGUGCCCUGACAUUGAGUUGAAAAACAUCUGCUGGAGGAAAGUUCUUUUGAAUAAACUGUGAUUGAGCCACCCCUUUUCUGGUUUGUCAAAAGGUUUCUCAAUCCUGGUGUGCUAUUAACAUUUGGGGCAAGAUAAUUAUCUGUUUCGGGGAGUGGGGGUUGUGUUUACAGUUUAUGCGACUUCUACCCACUAGAAACUAGUAGCACCCCUCCAGUUUCUGCCCCCCUCCUCCAGUUUUAAUGACCAAAAAUGUCUCCUGCUGCUGCUGCUGCUAAGUCGCGUCAGUCGUGUCCGACUCUGUGCGACCUCAUAGACGGCAGCCCACCAGGCUUCCCCGUCCCUGGGAUUCCCAGGCACCAUCAAAUGUCACCUGGGAGGCAAAAUGGCACCCAGUGGAGAAGUGUUGGUUGAUUAGAUAUUUUGUGUGGACAUGAUGGUAUUCGGGCAACAGUAUGAAACUCUCCCCUGUCUCUGUAAAGAAUGGAACAUUCCAACUUCCUCUACUCUGCCCUUGGCUUCCCAGCUGGCUCAGCCCAAAAUAAAACUUGUUUUCAUUCCUGACUCUUCCUUUCAUUAAGCUCUUCGCCAACACUUUCUUAUUCUUCCUCAAAUCUCUUCCCCCAGUUAAUCUUCCUCAAGGAUUGAUUAUUACUGGAAUUCCCCAAAGAAAACCUGUAAUGACUUGGAGCUUGGAAACCUUG